rnacentral:tRNA from 1 species
GAGAAGAAUCUUGACAGUGGUUCCAAGGAUAGGCUGUAAACCUAUAGGUCUUUAGACUUGUGAGGGUUCGACUCCCUCUCUUCUCA